rnacentral:rRNA from 1 species
GACGAACGCUGGCGGCGUGCCUAAUACAUGCAAGUCGAGCGCAGGAAACUGACGGAACUCUUCGGAGGGAAGGCAGUGGAAUGAGCGGCGGACGGGUGAGUAACACGUAAGGAACCUGCCUCAAGGAUUGGGAUAACUCCGAGAAAUCGGAGCUAAUACCGGAUAGUUCAACGGACCGCAUGGUCCGCUGAUGAAAGGCGCUUCGGCGUCACCUUGAGAGGGCCUUGCGGUGCAUUAGCUAGGUGGGGGGGUAACGGCCCACCAAGGCGACGAUGCAUAGCCGACCGGAGAGGGUGAUCGGCCACACGGGGACUGAGACACGGCCCAGACUCGUACGGGAGGCAGCAGUAGGGAAUCUUCCACAAUGGACGAAAGUCUGAUGGAGCAACGCCGCGUGAGUGAUGAAGGUUUUCGGAUCGUAAAACUCUGUUGUAAGGGAAGAACACGUACGAGAGGAAAUGCUCGUACCUUGACGGUACCUUACGAGAAAGCCACGGCUAACUACGUGCCAGCAGCCGCCGUAAAAC